GGGAAAAUAUGAAUCUCGAUAUUUACUCUUAUGAUUGGCACAACAAACAACAAGAUAUCACCGCCUCCACAUUUACAACAGGCUUGAACAGACAGGAACACUAUACGUUAACACAUCCACUCAACUCUGUAAGCUUUCUAGACUCAAAACAAACAAGCGAGCGUGCACAUGCACUAAAUACAAGGCUCUGAAGAGAGCCCGCUAAAGACUUUCCGAAGCAAUCCGCUCGGAUCCAGUAAAGAUCAACAAAAGGGAUUUCCACAAGACGGCAUCGAUGAAAACUUGAUGCGACAAAGCGAGGGCAAGAGAUUCACCCAGGAAGCAAUGCUUACAUGCAAAGCCAUGGGUUGAAGGCUCAGGUUGGAUCAGGGUUUCAACACAACUUUUUCCAGGCAUGAUCCAAAAAAAUUGCAGUUAUUGGCCAAUUCUCCCCCCGAUGUUCAAACUUAAAAAUCUUGGUGGUUGACAUCUGGCCUGUCAAAAUACAUGUAUGAAAAUUGGAAUCUAGUUAGCACACACUCUUGAUUUAUUCUAGUCCGCCAUAAUAGGCUGAACAAACGGCUGUACCUAGUUCGCCAUAAUAGGCUGAACUGCAAUAUAUGAAUAUGGAGUGCAAAUCUAUACCUGGAGUACGGUCACAUCAUCUACGUUUCACAGAGUUUGCGCCUCUAACAGCCUUAAUCUGUU
rnacentral:lncRNA from 1 species